ensembl:lncRNA
AGCAGCUCUGAUUGGCUGAUCAGCAGCUUUGGACGUUUCUCUGUUUUCACCACAGUUACUGACCUGCAGACGCUGAACCCCAGCUUCAAUGUGGUACGAACACACACACACACACACACACUCGGCGUGUACAGAUGCAUGUGUUGAUGCUCCUCUGUGUGUGUGCAGCUGGACACUCUGAGUCUUCUGAGCCUGAGGCAGUUAGUGGAGGUUUCCAGCACUCCUGGACUUCUGUCCAGCACCGCUGCGGUCAAUAAUCUGCUGCUCUACGUGCCGGACACUCAAUUCACCGAGUUCUUCUCAUCCCUCUCCGAUACGCUUCAGACGCAGGGCGUGGUUCUCCCAUCCCCCGUGCAGGAGGCGGUUCUGCAGCAGGUGUUUAACAGGGCCAAUCUGACCACAUCAUCAGACACUGAUCUACAGUUCUGGAUCCUGAACAUACUGCCGUCCUUCAUAGCCAACAUUACAGUCCAACACGUGACGUCCUACUUCAGCAUCGUCCAGCAGCGACCCUGUCCCAUCAGCCAGCAGGCGGUGCAGCUGUUGAACUCGUCCAGCUCCACCUUCCAGCCGGAGACACAAGAUCAGAUCUACCAGCUGAUCCUCGGCUCUCUCACAGGCCCCGCCCCGCUGCGCUGCUAUGGUGACCAGAGCUACUAUGCUUUCCUGAGCUCCUCCUUCAUGAGUUUCCAGUUCCCCGAUCUGACCACCUUCCUGUCUCUGAUGCCGUCGGCCCGCGUGCCAGAGGUCAGAGACAUCACACCGCCUCCACCUGCCGAUUACUGAUUAGAUCCAAUGAUAGAGUCCUGAAUGAGCCAGUAGCUGAAGGUUAUGGUCAUUUCUUUAAAUCAGUGAUUCUCAACCAGGGGUCCAUGUGGGAGCCUGAAGAUGACCCUAACUGUCCAUAGAUUAUAAUUAGAGGGGAACCUCUGAAUAUUGUUGUGGACAAUGGGGGUCAAACAUUUUGAGAACCGUUGCUUUAGAGAAAAACAUUUUUAAAUGUGCACCAAAUCACUAAGCACACCUUUAACUCGUUAUAUUGUCCGCUCUGCUGUUGUUUGACGUGUGUCUCCUCACAGCUGAUGGAGUCGGUGUCUCCAGCGGAGGUCAGCAGUCUCCUCAACCGGCCCAACGCUGUGGACGAUGUUACCCAAAUCUGCCGGUUUUUCAGAAUUUACCCAAAGACACCCCAGUACUUACAGACGGUAUGGACAUCUGUCACUCCUUUAAAAGUUUAUAAACUAAUGUAAUGACUCUCUAGAUUUAAACCUGAUAAUAUCUGGUUCUGAAAACCUUAUAUUAACCGCUCAUGUCGUUUAGCAGCUUCUGAAUUCCUCUCAUUUACUGUGAAAUGUCCAAAGCAGCUCCGGUUUAUAGUCCUAACUGUGACGCGGUAGCAGUAAAUGAAGAAGCGUCUCUCUGUGUGUCCUGCAGGAGCCGCUGUUGCCCGUGGGUUUGGCCCGGCAGGUGUUGUCCUGCGUCUGGCCUCAGGUUCUGAAGCUGGACGUCCAGUCUGAGGUGAAUCAGUGGUUUGAUCUUCGACUGGUUCAGUACCUGCCUCUCCUCACCCCACAGUUCAUCGCUCCAGACGUCAUGCUAAACGCCUCCUGUCUCUCCUUCAAGAAGUUGUGAGUAGCAGGUUGCCCACAUCACAUUGCUGUGCAGUCACAUCAGAGAAAUUCUGGAGAGAUUUUGCAGACAAAAAAGGUCCGUGCAGUAGGGUAGCGAUGUACCGUACGAAGCACAGCUCACUCAGAAGUCCCUUUCACAGAGCUCUGGUUAGUGUGACCGUACCUUCACUAUGUGUUCCAGUUGUGUAAAGACUUUGUUCUUCACUUAGGGGUAAACGUUUCAGAUGCAAACUCCAAAUGAACUUAAUUUUGGCCUAAUUUUGUUCAAAAUAACGUCACAUCAGGUUGUUCUUUAAUUUCGCUAGAAUCUCAUCGAGGCUUAGUGCAACUAGUUUUCUUCCUAAAGACAUCUAACGAUGACAGAUUCUGUGCGUUUCUCUGUUUAGUGUUUCAGUGAUGGCUAAUUACAACUACACUGCAGCGGAGUUUUCUCCGAGUGACAUCUACAACACCAUCCUGGUCUACCUCAACACCUGUGAGUCGCUCUGAUCGACAGCGUGACUGAUUCUGCUGUCCAGUAAUGUGAGGGUUUGUCUGAUGCUGAGUCAC